AUACGGAGGGUGCAAGCGUUAAUCGGAAUUACUGGGCGUAAAGCGCGCGUAGGCGGUUUUGUAAGUCGGAUGUGAAAGCCCAGGGCUGAACCUUGGAAUUGCAUUCGAAACUGCAUGGCUAGAGUAUGGUAGAGGGAAGUGGAAUUCCAGGUGUAGCGGUGAAAUGCGUAGAUAUCUGGAGGAACAUCAGUGGCGAAGGCGACUUCCUGGACCAAUACUGACGCUGAGGUGCGAAAGCGUGGGGAGCAAACAGGAUUAGAAACCCUAGUAGUCC
rnacentral:rRNA from 1 species